CAUAUAAAUUUUAGUGUUAAUUUUAAUUUAUUUUAAUAAUAAAUUAAAAUUUUUAUGUAGUAAUUAAUAUUAAAUAAUUUAAGAAAUUAAGAUUUAGUAAUAUUUGAAUUAAUAACAAAUUUUGUGCCAGCAGUUGCGGUUAUACAAAAGUUAAAUUAAAAUUUAUUAGUAAUUAAUUAAUUAAUUAAUUUUAUAAAUAAAAAAUUAAAUUAUUAGGUGAAAUUUUAAUUUAAUAAAAAUUUAUUUAAUAAUUAUGAUUUAAUAAAUUUUAUAAAAAACUAGGAUUAGAUACCCUAUUAUUAAAAAUUAAAAUUAAAAUACUAAAAUAGUAAAUAAUUAUUUAUUGAAACUUAAAUAAUUUGGCGGUAUUUUAGUUCAUUUAGAGGAAUCUGUUUAAUAAUUGAUAAUCCACGAAUAAAUUUACUUAAUUUAUCAUUUUGUAUAUCGUUGUUAAAAAAAUAUUUUUUAAUAAAAUUAAUAUUUAAAAAUUAAAAAUAUAAAUUAAAUCAGAUCAAGAUGCAGAUUAUAAUUAAGAAUAUAAUGGAUUACAAUAAAUUUAUUUAAAUGAAUAUUAAUUUGUAAUAAUUAAUUGAAGGUGGAUUUAAAUGUAAUUUUAUUUAAUUUAAUAAAAUGAUUAAAAAUUAAAAUAUGUACAUAUUGCCCGUCGCUUUCAUAUAUUAAUAAGUUGAAAUAAGUCGUAACAAAGUAGAGGUACUGGAAAGUGCUUCUAGAAAGAU
rnacentral:ncRNA from 1 species